GACGAACGCUGGCGGCGUGCUUAACACAUGCAAGUCGAACGCUGAAGCUUGGUGCUUGCACUGGGUGGAUGAGUGGCGAACGGGUGAGUAAUACGUGAGUAACCUGCCCUUGACUCUGGGAUAAGCCUGGGAAACUGGGUCUAAUACUGGAUACGACAUGUCACCGCAUGGUGGUGUGUGGAAAGGGUUUUACUGGUUUUGGAUGGGCUCACGGCCUAUCAGCUUGUUGGUGGGGUAAUGGCUCACCAAGGCGACGACGGGUAGCCGGCCUGAGAGGGUGACCGGCCACACUGGGACUGAGACACGGCCCAGACUCCUACGGGAGGCAGCAGUGGGGAAUAUUGCACAAUGGGCGGAAGCCUGAUGCAGCGACGCCGCGUGAGGGGUGACGGCCUUCGGGUUGUAAACCUCUUUCAGCACGGAAGAAGCGAAAGUGACGGUACGUGCAGAAGAAGCGCCGGCUAACUACGUG
rnacentral:rRNA from 1 species